AGCCUGAACGCUGGCGGCGUGGCUAAGACAUGCAAGUCGUACGGGUGUAGCAAUACACCAGUGGCGAACGGGUGAGUAAUGUAUCGCUAAUGUGCCCCGGAUUCUGGGAUAGCUAUCCGAAAGGAUAGGUAAUACCAGAUGAUAUAACUUUGUCGCAUGGCAGAGUUCUCAAAGGAGUAAUCCGCUCUGGGAGCAGGCGAUAUCGUAUCAGCUAGUUGGUGAGGUAACGGCUCACCAAGGCGACGACGCGUAGCCGGACUGAGAGGUUGGCCGGCCACAUUGGGACUGAGACACUGCCCAGACUCCUACGGGGGGCUACAGUAACGAAUCUUCCGCAAUGCACGAAAGUGUGACGGAGCGACGCCGCGUGUGGGACGAAGCCCUUCGGGGUGUAAACCACUGUCAGGGGUUAGAAAGUUCUGAUCAACCCAGAGGAAGGCACGGCUAACUCUGCGCCAGCAGCCGCGGU
rnacentral:rRNA from 1 species